UCUCCGUUGGUGAACCAGCGGAGGGAUCAUUACCGAGUUUACAACUCCCAAACCCAAUGUGAACGUUACCAAACUGUUGCCUCGGCGGGAUCUCUGCCCCGGGUGCGUCGCAGCCCCGGACCAAGGCGCCCGCCGGAGGACCAACCAAAACUCCUAUUGUAUACCCCCUCGCGGGUUUUUUAUAAUCUGAGCCUUCUCGGCGCCCCUCGUGGGCGUUUCGAAAAUGAAUCAAAACUUUCAACAACGGAUCUCUUGGUUCUG
rnacentral:misc_RNA from 1 species